UGGCGGUACGGGUGGAGUAACACGUGGAUUAUCUGCCCUGGAGUGGGGAAUAACGCUGGGAAACCGGCGCUAAUACCGCAUAUUCCCGAGAGGGGAAAGCAGCAAUGCGCUCGAGGAGGAGUCCGCGGCCGAUUAGCUAGUUGGCAGGGUAAAAGCCUACCAAGGCUAUGAUCGGUAGCCGGCCUGAGAGGGCACACGGCCACACUGGCACUGAAACACGGGCCAG
rnacentral:rRNA from 1 species